rnacentral:rRNA from 1 species
UACGGAGGAUGCAAGCGUUAUCCGGAAUGAUUGGGCGUAAAGCGUCCGCAGGUGGCUGUGUAAGUCUGCUGUUAAAGAGUGAGGCUCAACCUCAUAAAAGCAGUGGAAACUACACGGCUAGAGUGCGUUCGGGGCAGAGGGAAUUCCUGGUGUAGCGGUGAAAUGCGCAGAUAUCAGGAAGAACACCCGUGGCGAAGGCGGCUCUCUGGGACGGUACUGACGCUGAGACGCGAAAGCGUGGGGAGCGAACAGG